GAGCAAGUACCAUUUUAUGAAUAAAGCACCAUUGAAGUCAUUGCUAUUCCUUGAAGCCAAAAAAGUGUCAGUAAAACCCAGUCAGAAUUACCAUCUUCUGAACUCCAUGCGAGAAAACUCCAUUACUCCCAGAUACUGUUGGAUCUUCCACCAGAUUUACUCUGUGGCCCUCCGAGACUUCGUGUAACAGCAACUGCAUUUUAAUGCAAUGGCAGCUAUGGAAAACACAAAACUAUCAGUCAUUGUCAAAUACUCCAUAAAUGGAGACAGAGAAGGGGUUCAGUUCUCUGUGUAACAAGGACAGAGGAGAAAGGCAUCUGCAGUGUCAAAUCUACAGAGACAAGUGCACCUGGAGACAAAUGACCAGACUACCAUAAAACAGAAGCUUAAUUAUGUUCACUUACAUUUUCAAAUUAUUCCCAACAAAUUACCCUGUUUUUCCAGGCAGAAGAAGCAGAG
ensembl:lncRNA LINC00446 long intergenic non-protein coding RNA 446